rnacentral:tRNA from 1 species
GUGAAUGUACCUCAGCGGUAGAGGGCUUGCCUAGCAUGAAUGAGUUCCUGGGUUCGAUCACCAGCACCUAAA